GAUGAAGAACGUAGCGAAAUGCGAUAAGUAAUGUGAAUUGCAGAAUUCCGUGAAUCAUCGAAUCUUUGAACGCACAUUGCGCCCCCUGGCAUUCCGGGGGGCAUGCCUGUCCGAGCGUCAUUUCUGCCCUCAAGCACGGCUUGUGUGUUGGGUGUGGUCCCCCCGGGGACCUGCCCGAAAGGCAGCGGCGACGUCCGUCUGGUCCUCGAGCGUAUGGGGCUCUGUCACUCGCUCGGGAAGGACCUGCGGGGGUUGGUCACCACUAUAUUUUACCACGGUUGAACUCGGAUCAGGUAGGAGUUACCCGCUGAACUUAAGCAUAUCAAUAAGCGGAGGA
rnacentral:misc_RNA from 1 species